AGUUAUCCAAUGUUGCCCUGAAGGAUGAAGGCAGCUACACGUGCAUCUUCACCUUGUUUCCCAGUGGAAAUCAGAAGACAGAAAUACCUCUAAACUUGCUUGUGCCUCCUUUCACAAGCAUCAAGGACAAUCUUCCCACUUUGGGCACAGAAGAGGUUUUAUUUGCUACCUGCACGGCUGCUGGAUCGAAGCCUCCUGCAGAGGUGAGGUGGCUCACUGGUGCUUUGGGAGACAAAGUGAGGACGACAACAAAUUCCACACAGUAUGACAAUGGCACGACUACCACAGUCAGCUCUCUGUUUGGUGUUCCUAUGAGAGAGAUUAACGGUCACCAGGUCCAGUGUGUCAUCAGAUAUACAGAUCUACUUCUCUCCCACAGAAGUGAACAUCAGAGCAAAAUCUGAGGACUCAUUUGAGUGUGUGACAGAAGCCAAUCCAAGUGCAAAUUUUACAUGGAGCAGAUCUGGCCAGUCAUUGCUGCAGUCUGCUGUCAAAGUAGACGGUGCAAAGCUACAACUGCUGAGCUUGACCUCUGAUCUAAAUGGCCUCUAUCAGUGUGAAGCAUCUAACACAUAUGGAAGUAAACACGGUCAGCUUUAUGUGCGUGUGGCAUCAGGAGCAUGCUCUGCUGCUUGGGUCUUAUUUGGUGUUUUGCUUUUCCUGAAUGUUGUUGGUGCUGCAGCAUGGUACUUUUAUAAACGUGGAUGUUUUCAAAGUAGGAGGUCUUUAAACCAACAUGGUGGCAAGCAGCAUGACACAAAACUUCACCAGAGUGUGAGAAACGAAGAUCACGGACCAGAGGAAGAAGACCUACAGAGAGAUCAAGAGGAAUCUCUCUGACAGCAAAGAUGAACAUUAUUUGGACUGAAGGCUCCACCAACAUGUCAUUUUAAAGUCAGCUGGUAAAUAAACAGAUGAAGAACAGAUGCCCCUGCCUGAACAGGACACCAUACGUGACACAUGAACCUGCAACAGGGUCUGGACCACAGACAGAUUAACUUAAAAGCACAGGGAUAUGAGACAAACACAGGAACAUGACCGCAGAAACAAAGGGUAACAAAACAGGGAAACUAGACACAAAAGGAAACUCAUAUAACUUAACAGCCCAGAGGUAGAAAAAAUAAAGGCAGUUGUUAAAGAAAACAAAAGUCACGACUAAAAAUCUCUUAAAUCCAAAGGAAUGAAUCACAAGACCAUAAUAAAUUCAAAACUUGGUUGAAGACCCACCAUGACACAUGCAUGUUUUAAGAUUGGAUUAUAUGAAAGUCAAACUCAAUUCAAUUCAGUUCAAUUCAAUUUUGUUUAUAGAGCAUACACAGAGCUUGACUUUAGUCUCUUAGUCUUGAGUUUAUCUGUAUUUCUAGUUCAAGGUGUCUUGUUUGAUAUUAGGUUUGUCUUUGUGUCAUUUGUGUCUUGUCCUCUGCGUCUCGCUGUGAAGUCAGUCUUGACUCCAUGUUUAUUUGCCUAUCUGUUUCCUCAGUCAUGUCUCUCGCUCUCUCUCUCUCUUCACAUCUCUGUGUCCGUGUCUCAGCAUUUGUGUGUUCCUGUUUACUUUAGUAGUCAUCAUCUCAUGUGCCUCGUGUUCUGCUUUACUUCCCCCAUCUCACCAUGUCUAUGUUUCUCUAGCUGUGUUCCCAUGUUCCCUGUGUCCACUUCUCCUAACCACCCUCCUGUGUAUAUAUUGCGUCCGUCUCCCCUUGUCCUUGUUCCGUUAUGUUCCAAUCGUGAUCCUGUUAGUUAGACAGUUUGUAUUUAGCUUCCUUUUCAUUAAAAGGCUCUCCUUUGGCUGAAACUCCUCUGUUUUGCCUCCAUGUCUGCAAUCCUGGGCCCUCUUUCACCACAGCAGCAAAACAGAGAGCUGCAAUCUUUUGGAAGAUUGAAACAAAAAACACAGGUUUCGGGAACCACUGUCAACAGCUACCACAGGAUGGCAGUAAUGUUAAGGAUGGAUUCAGACAGGUGGGGAGCUUUAUAGUAACACUGUUCAAGAUGAAAGGAGAAAAAAUGUUUUACUUUGGUAGGUUUUCAUUUAUGUUUAUUUUUAGACUUGACAAGCCUGCCUUUCUUGUCCUGUAUGCCAUGUGUUAAAUUACAGUGAUGUGAAAUGAUUCAUGGUUAAUGAUAGAAAUACAGUGAAAUACUUAAAUUAAAUUACUUAAAUUAUUUGUUACUUGAUUUUAUCUAAUUGUUGUUUUUUUCCCCACUUGCUUGGUACAACCUUACCCGUAAGGAUACAAUAUCACAUCACUCAGACUUUCACAUUUUGUCUUUUUUGCACAUUAUGCAUUUGAAAAGCACCAUGACAGUAUACAGCCAAUGUAAGAUAAGAUAAGAUAAGACCAC